UACCCACCAACUGUUCUCUUAAAUCUGGCCCCUGUGCAGAGAGGUAUUAAAGAUUCAUUAACACAGAAAUGAAGCACUAGAAAACAUAGUCUGGUGAUUACAGAAUUCAGAUAGAAUAGUUUGGGGAUGUAAUUUAAAGAUUAUGAACAAUGUUCAAACUGUUUACUGCAUGUGGCCCCAAGUCACUUGUCCCAUAAAUCAGUGUCAGAGCUCCUGAUGCCUCUACUAAUGCUUUAUCCAUCUGUGUUCCAUAAAUCCCUCUUUUAUUACCUACCACUUUUACCAAACCUGCAGCAAACAAACAUGUGGGCGGGGAGGAAAAUGCCAUGCCCUUCUUGGAGCCAAGAAAGCAAUGAGGAAGUUACAAACUUUCCGAACUUUCAGGAAGGAAAACUGAACCAAAACCUGAAUCCCACCAGAUCAUUCCCUCCUGCUCUGCUCAGAGUCACCAGGACUUCCUACAUCUUUACCUUCUCCUUACAGCAAGGGAUCUGAGACUCCUCACGCUCCAUGAGAUAUCUGCUCAUGCUGCUGAUAGACAGUGCUAUGCUGCUCCAUUCUUAAAGCAGGAAAACAGAAUGGCAUUACUGAGUACAUGGUUGCUUUAUAUUUGGAACAUUAAGUGAUAACUAAUUUGAUACUGUGAAAGACAUUUUCACGCCAUGUCUUCUAUUUGAAGUAUGUAUUGUCAAUUAUUGUAACGCUUUGAGCUUAUUCACAAAAAGAUUUGCUGUUCAUUCCACGACUUCCCCCACGUUUUAGAUUAUGCCUCUUGUGACAUGAACCUUUAUACCGAUCACAAAAAAAAAGGAACAUUUCUUGUAAUCACAAUUCCUUGUUUGAUGCUGUCUGAGGGUGCAGAAAGGAAACUGCAGGCGGAACUGAAAGUUAGUUGUGUUUCAAAAGCUGUUAAAAUCUAUGAAAAUAAUAUUUAGCUUUGAAUAGAGUUUGCCACUCCCACACAUCAGUCAAAUAUGGCAUUUCUAAAUGACAUCAUUUACACCCAAGAAAAAAAAGGAAACCUACUUUUGCACGUAUUGUCUUCCUCAACAGAUUCGUUGCUUAGUCCUAUAACUACUGAAGAGCCCAGCUGCAGGGACUGCUCUGACACCUCUGCAUCACCGAGUAACUAUGUCACCUCUCCUAGCACCCUCUAUGCUGCGGUUUACACAUCACAAUGGGAAGCGACGGGGACUGACAAGCUAGGCCCAGUCUGUUUUAAAAGUGUUGAGAAUCAUUCUUCCUGCUUUGUUUAAGAAAUAUUGAGUAAUAUCAUCUCCUACUGAGGAAAAAGACAGAGACUCAAAACAGGAUGGAACGGGCUCUUACUGUCAGUCAUCUUUACCACAUGCAGAGAGGACUUGCAUGAAUGGGAGACAAUAGAGAGUGUGUAUCCACCAGAACUGAUGUCCCAAACCACUCCAGGGUAGUGAUAAUUUCAGUUUUAGCCCCUACCUGCUGUACCACAGUUCCUGUCAAGAGAAAACUAUGGUUCAGCAGACAGUGCCUGCCAUUGCACUGUGAGCCCAGCCUUUUCUGUGACCUCAUACACAGAGAUGUGAAAUUCUGCACAUGAACCAUGUUUUCCUCUGUGCCAGACCUUCCAGAUCAGUAAAUGGAAGGGGACAAUAGAUUCACCUGUUGUGUGACCACUGCUCAAUGUGCAGAGUGCAGGCUUCAACUGGAGCUGUUAAAGGCAACUGCCUAUCACAUUCUCCCCACCUUCUGUGAUCUUUUACAUUCUCUUUCUCUCACAGGCUCAUGGUUUUGGACACAACCCAAGGUUCACCAUGUGUGUUGAGGCUUGUGCUAUUUUGAACAGUGAAGUAGAACCACCCACCACCCUGGCUAAAAUUCAGAUUAAUUAGGACCCCUUCAGUCCCUGCUUUCUGAUGAUUAAAGGCUAGAGAUAGCUUGUAGAGAUGACACCUAACCUUGAGUUAUCAAAAUACAUUAACCAGAUAUAUAGCGGUGGGUUGGUUUAUUUUUUAACUAAAGGUGCCAUUCUGUUUAAUUCAAACAGUUUUAACUACCACCAGAGCUUCAGCAUAAGAAGUUAUUACAAAGCUAUAACCCAUUUUGAAAUGGGAAGACAGCAAGGCCAAAUUAAACUGGCAGGUCUGGAAAUUUAAAUUCAGUAGCAGUUCAGGUUAUACACUACACUUAGGUAAAAAAACCCUAAUUCUUUUUUAAAGGCUCAUUUUCCACAAAUGGCUGAGCUGUUUAAGUUAAAGUGAAUAAAUACCUAAUGAGUCAUUAAAGUCUAUAAGACUGUAUGGCCUCCAGGCACUGGUACCUGGAUUCAGCCAAUUAUAGUUCCGUAAGAUAAGAUGAAGACAUCAGGUUGUUAUUGGAAUAUAUAAAGGUUGAAGACACUGUUAAUAAGUCACUACAGAAUGUGAUAAAAUUGUUUAAACUGUUUAAAAACUCUCAAUGUGUUUUGCUAGACACAUUUUUACUGCUAGGUUUUUCCCCCAUAAAGUCUAAUCCUUUCUUUGCACAGCCUUGAGAACUACACUCUGCAAUAUUGCAUUAAUACCAAAAUGUGAUUUGUUUCUACAUUUCCAUGUUUUUAGCACGUACUCUGGAGGUUAUGAAAUAUUAAUGGUAGCAAUUCCUCAACCAUGGCAUA